UCCAGGCUCCCCUCUCACCAUGGAUUGGGACUCCAGCUUGGAGCUACAAAACAGCUUGAGAGAGGGAGAAAGAGGGAGAUGCCAAGAGUCAGGCCAUUAUUUGUCACCAAAAGCGGGGAGCAGCACCCUUCACCCCAUGGAGCUGCUCUAUACUUACAGUGCUCAAGAGGAGUUCGAGAGGGAUACCGGAGUGGGGAGGCUAUCUUUUUCUUAUGUUUUGAAUGUGAAGAUGGAGAGCACUCCAUCACCGAGGAACGGGGAAGUUCACCUCUAUAAAUUCAUCCACUAAUACUCCCACUGGUAUCGCGUCAAAGCCUUACCUUACUCCUCCCCUUCUGUCCAUCAAGAGCUCAAGAAUUUGCAGAAAAGAAAGCAAAGAUGGAGAGCCGCCUUCCCCUCGGCUUUCACUUCAAGCCUACCGAUGAAGAGAUACUGGUCUACCACUUUUGUCGUGCUAAUAGUCUGCCUUCUCCCGGGGAAUUCGUCCAAGAAGAAGACCUCCAGAUAUUAGGAGGGAUGGUUGUUCGGGGAGAUUAUAUUGGUACAUAGAUUGCAAGUACAAACAGGUGUCAGGCCGAUUUACUCGAGAUCGGCAUACCGUUGAUGGGAAGGGCUAUUGGAAGGCCACUGAUGGACAGAAGCGUGUCUAUUGUCCCAUUGUCGGGCAUAAGCAGGACUUCAGAUUUCAUCAACUGGAACAUGGAAGACAGCUCUCAACGGCUUGGGUGAUGACAGAGUACACACUUUAUUCCAAUGCCAGCAACGUGAACACGAAUGCUAUUUGUGUGCUGCGUAACACCAAAAAAAAUUAAGAUUGCAAAGAUCCAAUAUGGACCUAUUUGAGCUUCUAUCAGGCGACAACGUACCUAGAGAAAUUGUUCUCCACCAUGUUCCUCUGCUUCCGUCUUCUACCAGAUUUGUUCUGAGCAUUGUGUACCUUCCCUUCUGUUUUUCUUUCUUUUCCUUCUUUCUUUAUUGUUGUUCUUCUAAGAUGAUGGACAGCGUCCAUGAAGCUUCAUAAAGACUCUGUACUUUGUUUCUCUUAUUGUGAUGGCAUAUAAAGUUUAGCAUUA